UGUGCCCAGUGUGGAAAAGGAAUCCUCUCAGUAAUCCACUUUCCAUCUCUGGGUACUGA
rnacentral:pre_miRNA from 1 species